CCUUGGCAGGCAGCACAGUGACAGUUUCAAAAAGGGCCUUCCUGCGGCUGAAUAGAUCUCGCAUGACCAUUUUUGCCCAGGAGCUGGCUGUCCUGGUAUUCACAAAGGGGGGCCUUGCACAGUCCACCCUAACUGGAAAGUCUGGGAGGGGGGGGCCGCCAAAAACACAGCUGGAUGUUGCCAAAGUGCAGGCUAUUACAGACGCUGUUCUUCUGGUGUUUCCGCAGACAAGUGUCUCUGAUGUGCGCACGGCCAUCAGACGCAAGUGUAACAAUGAGCAGUUCAGCCAAAAAAAAGUAACAUAAUGUGUGGUGUGCGUGUUUCUGUAUGGUGCGAGGGGUUAAGGGUGCAAUAAUAACGAAUGUUGUUUGUCAUUGUUCAAUAUUCCUCAGUGUUCUUUAAAGUUUAUGUGUAAUGUUAUAAUAUAAAUGGUUAAAAUCCAUAUGUAAUUGUUUAUACAUUCUUAGAUAGUACAAGUUGUUGUAUUAUUUGUAAUGUACUAUAAUUUGGAGAUGGUUCAAUACAUUAAAGUAUAUUUUUUCACCUGCAUGGAAGUAGUCCCACAAGUCUUUCAGUCUUUAGUAUACUGGUAAUACAUUUGCAAGAAUGUGCAAGGUAGAAAGUAUUAUAGCAAAGUAAUGAUAAAGCAUAUUGACUAUUAACUACAAAGUAUGCUUUUUUAGUAAUUGGAAUAAGCCAACAGUAUAAAUAAACAUAUUAUUACCACAGUAAGAAUAUAUUAAAAGU